CAGCCUUGCUGAAUUAUUCACCCUUGUCUUUUGCGUACUUCUUGUUUCCUUGGUGGGUUCGCCCACCACUAGGACAAACAUAAACCUUUUGUAAUUGCAAUCAGCGUCAGUAACAAAUUAAUAAUUACAACUUUCAACAACGGAUCUCUUGGUUCUGGCAUCGAUGAAGAACGCAGCGAAAUGCGAUAAGUAGUGUGAAUUGCAGAAUUCAGUGAAUCAUCGAAUCUUUGAACGCACAUUGCGCCCUUUGGUAUUCCAAAGGGCAUGCCUGUUCGAGCGUCAUUUGUACCCUCAAGCUUUGCUUGGUGUUGGGCGUCUUGUCUCUAGCUUUGCUGGAGACUCGCCUUAAAGUAAUUGGCAGCCGGCCUACUGGUUUCGGAGCGCAGCACAAGUCGCACUCUCUAUCAGCAAAGGUCUAGCAUCCAUUAAACCUUUUUUUCAACUUUUGACCUCGGAUCAGGUAGGG
rnacentral:rRNA from 1 species